GACGAACGCUGGCGGCGUGCUUAACACAUGCAAGUCGAACGAUGAAGAAGAGAAACGCGAACUUCGGUUCAAAUUUCACUUCGGAUUAGUGGCAGACGGGUGAGUAACGCGUGAGCAACCUACCUCUUACAAAGGGAUAGCCUCGGGAAACCGUGAUUAGUACCAUAUGACACAUUCAUAAGGCAUCUUAAGAAUGUUAAAGCUACGGCGGUAAGAGAUGGGCUCGCGUCCCAUUAGCUAGUUGGUGAGGUAACGGCCCACCAAGGCGACGAUGGGUAACCGGCCUGAGAGGGUGAACGGUCACAUUGGAACUGAGACACGGUCCAAACUCCUACGGGAGGCAGCAGUGGGGAAUAUUGCACAAUGGAGGGAACUCUGAUGCAGCGACGCCGCGUGAGCGAUGAAGGAAUUCGUUUCGUAAAGCUCUGUUCUAUGGGAAGAAAAGGACUGUACCAUAGGAGAAAGCCCCGGCUAAAUACGUG
rnacentral:rRNA from 1 species